CCGUCGGACACACACACGCACACGCCGUGGCCACACACACCACUGAGGCACUGACACACUCUCUCAUCUUGCUCCCGGACAAGCAGCGCCUCCGCCCUCCCCACUGCAUCCCGCCGCCGGCACAGGGACCCUCCCUUGCAGCGCGCUGCUUCGGCAGGGACUGCCCCUCUGCCUCCCCAGUCCCCAUCGCUGCUGAGACGGCCGCCCUUCUCUUGCCUCUCCACCUCCGUCGGCGGAGGCGCAGACUUCCUCUCCACCAGAUCCUCGGUCGUGGACUCGACAUGAGAGCUGGAGGGCUCCCCUACGCCUACCUCCUCCUGCCGCGGGACAAGACGCAGAAUCGGAGCGAGCGCCGAGGAGCGCCGGCUAGGACGCCUUGCUCCGAUGGGUUGGGCGUGUCGCGAGCCUCACCGUGGCCAAGUACCACAUGCUCCAGAGUUUGAUGGUCGAUGCCCUCCCCACCUGGCCACCUCACGCGUGACUGGUAUUUCGUCAUCCCGCCUCUGCUCGAUUCGGCUCCGUCCGAUGGCGCUGCUUGCGCCUUGACGCCGCCGCCGUAGCCACAGCCCCACGCCUCGCACGAUGGCCGCCAGAAGCCUAUGCCUUGGCCGCUUUAGCUAUUGUUUAGCUCUGACAGAAUCAAGUCAAUCAACUAUGGGACAGAUUUUUGUGUACACUUCUUGUGCAUAUGUGAAGGGAAGCAAGCUUGGAUUCACUGGAUGAUGUAUACACACCAAGUGCACCUCGCUUUCAUAAUAGCAAGCAACCUCAUAUUGAGGUAUGUUCUCUUCGCUUGCAGCCUUUUUAAGAGUUUGGUUUUUCCAGUUAGUCUCUUCUGAUGGUGAUGCUUGAUAAGUGGUCUUUAUCAGCGUGUUAUCUCAGAAAAUCGCUUUCUCCGGUGGUUGAUAAUUUUAGCUCUAUAUGCUUGUGUUGCAAACAGCACAAGCAACUGGACAACCAUUUGUUUCAUAAACUCAAACCAUUGAACUUAAAAACAUCACCUUCCGCAGCUGGUGUGUAUCGUAGUUGAGUGACAGCAGAUUGCCCAGUGGGCUUCUCCGCAGUGUGAAAAUCUGUCAGAAAGAAUUGAUCAUAGAUAUGAUUAUACUUGUGACUGCUACAUCAUAAAGAACAGAAAAAAUGGACAUACCAGGUGAUAUGGCCACGGGUGUCUUAGAUGGAGUGCGCUUUCAAUUUAGAAAGGAGAUGUAGCUUUGUUAUUAUCCCUUGCCUCGUGUCUUCUUUUUAAUAUCUCAUCCCUGUUUAGUGCAUACCUCUCCUUUCCCUUUGUUUCUUUAAUUCUUUUGGAUCUGCUGUUUGACCUGUCUCCAAGAAAAUCUUCAGGAUCUAUAAGGUCCAAGUAGGUAAGAGUUGGUGAUAUAUUUAUUUACCCUGGGUAAAUAGCAAAUCAAGUAAAUAAGAAAGUCUUGUACAUCUCAUUUUGGAAAUUUCAGAAAUGAUCAAGAGGUGAAGUCCACUUUGAUUUUUACCUUGUGCAGACUUAGGUUUGUUGUAGGUCCUUGUAGUCAUGGUUUUCUUUAAAAAAAAUCAUACAUCAUCGAACCAUGCUGAACUCACGUGUACAGAGUAUGCUGUCAACAUCUUACAUAGCAUCUUCUAUAAAUCGUACACAAAAUUUCGGAAUCUGAACUACACAACUUUGAAACAAACUGAAAAGUUAUCAGCAUCUGCACUAAACAUUGGUAAGUUAGCUUUAGGAGAAACAUACUCAAAGAAUAUCUGAGUCGGCCGUUAUUCAUCUUGACAGUAAGGCACGAUAGUCAUUAAAUUCGUAUUACGAUUCUUCGUGCCAACACUACAACCUACAACAGUAAAUCAUAUAUAUAACUAUGUCCGAAACUUGACAUCAUACAAUGUGGAAGAAGGAAUUAAAUUGCCACAAAUAUAUACAUACCUUACUGUUUAACUGCGUUUACUCGAUUGCUGAGUCUGAUGAAUUGCUGCAUAAAUAGCCCAAAUGAUUGCCUGGCCAUAUGUAAUGUUGGUAAACAUACAAUGUAAGUACCAGAAUUCGAUCAGAAUAAAACUUCGGCAAACCAACAUUUAGUUAUUUAAACAAAAGUUCACCUUAUUGAGUACAGAAGUGGCACUUGGAUUAAGCAUUUGAAAAACAUUAAUGCAUGGUACCCAAUACCAAUUGGCAGGCCAACAUAUAAGAAGAAAUUUUGCUUAAUUGUAUUUCAGAUAUAUAGAGAAGCAUGUACUGAUUUUUAUUUGCACAAAAUGAUUAGUCGUAGAUUGUCAUAGAGAUUUUGUAGUCAUUUCAUUCAAAUGGCUUAAAACUAACAUAAAAAUGUGGCAAUCCAUUGGCACAAAUAGACUUCAUACAGUACUCUCAAGUCUACAAUACAAUACCAAUUGGCAAGCCAACAUUCAGAGAAGCAUCUAAUGAACUUAGGUUGUAGAAAUUCAGAGAAGCAUGUUCUGGAUUUAGCAAGUAGAAAUUCAGAGAAGCAUGAGUGGAGGAGCCGAUUCUACCGUUUCGUGUAUGCUGUCUACCUUUUCCUAUUAUCAGUUGGGAUGUCACUUUUUCUGUCUUCCAUGCUCAGGGUCUUUUGAUAUAGAACUUGUUGACUAUCUGACUUCCAUGCUACAAAAGAUAGGCAUCUCCUAAAUUAUGUUUGCUAAUUCUUUCAUUUAGGCAAGUUGGAUGUCAGUCCUUCCAAUUAUGUGCUUAUAUAAUAACAGAACAUAUUAGAGAAUAGAGAUAUGUUCAGUGACAUGCAUUCUGUUUCAUGCAAAGCACAUAAACUCUAUAUUAUAGGCCAUUGCAUUUUGUUUACUCGGUAUAUUAAGAAAUAGGAGUACAAUUGUAGUCAUGUUUUUUUAUGUUACUCUUUGUAUUUAUGAAUUUUGACCCAAAUCUGCCACGAGGUGAAAUUUGACUGAUGUCCAUCAUUUUGGUCAAUAUUAUUUUGUUCUCUCAAGCGCAGAUUCUUCUAAUUACUGUACUCCUAAUAAUUGAAUAUGUGGGGAGAGUCAGUGUUCCAUGAAACCAGAUUGCUACAGAGUUGAGCCACCUAGGUUUGUUUCCCGUCAGCUAACUUCCUACACCAAGCCGGCGGCUUGAUGUUGAGGUAAAGUCUUGAAGAAAAUUCUGAUCGAAGUUUGUACCUGAUCAAAGUUUGCUGGCUUGGUGGCGAGGGCGUCAACAUGGCGACGGCGGCAGCCCGCGCUCGCAUCCGUUGGUCAGCAGAGGAGAGCAGCAGGCGGCCACGGCGCCCUGCGCUCACGUCCGUGGGCCAGCAGAGGUGAAGCCGACGGUGGCGCCGGAGACUCUCGCUCGCAUCCAUGGGGCAGCGUAGGAGAGGCAAGUGGCGACGGCGGUCUGUGCUCGCGUCAUUGGGGCAGUAGAGGAGCGGACGGCGGCGACUGAGUCCCGUGUUUGCGUCUGUGGGGUAGCAGAAGAGGAGCGGACAAGGGACAACGGCAGCGUCGAUCCGCGCUCACGUCCAUAGGGCAGCAGACAACAGAGGAGGAGCGGCGGGCGGUGGCGGCGAUCUGCGCACGCGUCUGUGGGAUAGCAGAGAGACGACGUGUUGUGAGGGCAGAGAGAAAAUUACGGGAUAGAAACCCCCUAUCCCUGUUAAUUGAGGACCAACCGGUGCGCCGGGCAGUCUGCUUGGCAGAACAUUUAAUCUGGGACGUUCAUGUGCGUAGCAGACCCUUGAUGUAAUAUGGACUGUUAGAUGCUAUUUAGUUGGAUUGAUCUAACGCCUCUGAUAAUCCUGUGUACACUUUGUGGUGUGUCUUUAGGGGAAUUCAUGUUUGCUCUUUUAAUAGUAGUAUAGAUAUAGAUACACGUAACACUUAGACAUCUGGAUGAUUUUUUUCUUUUGGCUUGUUCACAUCAUAUGAUCUUCAUUCUUCAA